UAUGAAACGUUUCUGAAUCUGGUUUAGCCUUCAAGCGUUUUUGAAUCGUUCUGGUUUAUAUUGAAAUUAUUUCUUCCACAGAGUUACAUAGUAAAAUAGACUCUUAAAAUUUAACCAAAUAUUUUAGAAAUAUUCUAGAUACAGGUUGUAAAAAUACUGGUGCAUUCAAACGUUGGGUUAUGAUGAAGGAGGUCAUUAUAUUUAUAUCGAAGAUAAGAAUCACUACUCUAUUUAACAGUUUUCAUAACUAUCAAAUAGAACAUGAGUAAUUCAAUCGAUAUUACAAAUUCGGAUAUAAUUCUAUUCUGACGUAUACUCGUAUGUUCAUUAUGUAAUUGAUAUUUUAAAUGAAACUCCAAGAUUUUCUAGGACUUAGUUUACAGGAUAAUAUCAUCGUGACAAUAGCUGACAAUGACUUGUUCAUGCUGUAAGUAUUUUUCUGAAGUUGAAAAUAAUUUCUCAAACAUUUUCCUUAGUAUUGAUAUAAUCUCUUUCGUAUUUUUAAGGGAUCAUAUCCAUCUAGAAAUUUUGUUUUCGCAUUUUUCAAAAAUUUCCAAUUUUAAGAAUAUAUCUCGAAAAUUUCAAAUCGAUAUUUCUAAAAAUAUGUGUAAAACGAAGUUAUAGAAUUCGAUCAUCUAUGAUCUUAUCGUGAAUAGCUCAAUAGGUAAAUGUUUCGAAUACUUUUUGUAAAAUAUUAUUGUUUCGAAGUGUUGAAAUAAAAAAAGAUAUCGGACGGAAAUAAUUGAGAACAAAUAGAGGGACCAAUUGAAGGAUCACUUAGAGUGGAUACUCUAUAUCUGUGGUCUCGAUGAAGAUGGACCGUUUCAAUUGGAGAGUGUCUACUUUCGAAGAUCUCGAAAAAUAUUUAUCAACUGAUGAUGGCCAUGUUAUUUUUAUACGGUCCGAUUAGAUAUUCGAUAUUGGUCGAUAUUUUUUGAUGAGUUGUUUUUAAUGUUUUCAAUACAUAUAUUUUUGAGUAAAAAAAAAAAAAAGAAAAUCAUUUUAUUUUCGUCCAUCGUUUUUGAGAAAAAAGAUUUCGAAUUUCGAGUAGGUAGUUACUUAACGGAAAUACUUGUGUCCAAUUUGACGUUCACUAUUACUUACUUAAUUAAAUAACAUCGUUAAUUAA